CAAGACCCAGGAUGCAGAUGAAACUAGCAGCUUCACUCUCUUCUUAAAAGUCCAGAAGCAUCUUCAACCUCAUGAGACCCAAACAGGGCUUAUUUAGCUCCUGCCAUUCCGUCCCUUUGGCCAGCUUCCGCCCUAGGCUUCGCCCAGCAAUGACGCGGCUCCAUCAUCUGCAUCUUUUCUCCAGUCAAAGUUGAAAUCAGUCUGGACUCCUCCUGUCCCUGGCAACUGCCUUCCUCAACAGCAAAGAAGCCCUCUGUGCAGCAGGAGCCAGCUGGGGCUUCCAGUUCAUUUCUGACACUACCUGGAGAUGAAUCCCACGGACUGGGGACUCAUGAGUGCCCCAUGCCACCCUCUGAGAUGUGAGCCACAAGCCUCUGGCUAUUGUAUCUUGAAAACACACUAUAAAUUGGGUUUCCUCAA